AAUAUAUUUCAAAGUUUUUCGGAGAUUUAUGAAGAGAAUGAACAUGACGAUACAUUCCAAUUUUUGGUGGAAACAAACGAGAAAUGUGAAUGGAUCUGGAGGUUUUAUUCGAAGUUCAUCAUUUGUGGGUUUGCUCAUACAUCAUUAACACGGGUAUAAAACGAUAACAACAAUAACAAGUAUUACGGAUCAAUUUGCUAUCUCACAUUAUGUAAGCCUGGUCACUCGAAUUGAAAUAGAGUAAUUAGAGUAUUUGAAAC